rnacentral:rRNA from 1 species
ACGGCCAUACCACAUUGAAAACACGGGUUCUCGUCCGAUUACCGAAGUUAAGCAAUGUCGGUCAGUACUUGGAGGGUGACACCUGGGAGUGCUGUAGGUU